GCGUUUGACCUCAAAUCAGGUAGGAUUACCCGCU
rnacentral:rRNA from 1 species